rfam:Schistosoma mansoni strain Puerto Rico chromosome 2, complete genome
ACUGCUGAGGAGUCCCAUAAUAGGACGAAACGGCCGUCCAGU